rnacentral:lncRNA from 10 species
GGAAAUUUAUUACAGCAGUUAAGAGCCCUGGGUCUGGAGCAAAACUGCUGAGGUUUGAGGCCCCGUUUUGCUGCUCACUAGCUACAUGAUCUUGGGCAAGUUAUUUAAGCUCUCUGAGCUUCAGUUUCUUCCUCUGCAGAAUGGGGAUGAAAGUGGACUACUACCUCAUGGCAUGUUUUGAGGAUGAAAUGAGCUAAUAAACACAGUCUUCAGCCCUACAUUAGGAUGGCCUAAGGAAAACAAGAAGACUGAAUGAUAUUCCCUGGUUCUCACUCUGUCAUCCAAGCUAGAGUGCAGUGGGGUAAAACACGGCUCACUGCAGCCUCGAUCUCUUGGCUCAAGCUAUCCUCCUGCCUCAGCCUCCUGUUUAUCUGGGACCACAGCUGACUUAUAUAAGUUAUUAGUCUUCUAGAAGGAUCACAAGGAACCAGCAUCAAAGAAAUGGAAUCCAGCUAAUUCCCCCAAGAAACUGAAGUUUUCGGGACAUGACUUGUGAAAGGCAAACAUAAGCUGACAUCUUUUCACACUGAACAGCAAGAGCCAAAGUGUAUCCGAAAAGCCAUUGUCAAAACAAGGAGUGAGAACAGCUGGGGUCAAGACCUAAUGAAGGGCAUCACUCAGCCUCUUUGAGCCUCGGAUUCCUCAUUUGUAAAGUGGGCAUAAUAAUACCUCACAGGGUAGUUAUGAGGGCAAAUGAGAUAAUGGACACGAAGGCACCUGUACACUCCACGGUGCUAUCAGAAUAUUGACUAUUAGUGCUUUCAUCACGCGGCUCCAUCCAAACCCCUGCUUUCCCUCACUCCAGUAAGUGGUUGCCCUCCACCCACCCCCCAUCUUCUAAUAAUGUAGACUGGAAACCCAAGCAUCAUCUUUGUCCUCCUUUUCAUUCCCUGACCCCAGUUGGUCUUCAUCCACAGUCUCUUUUUUUUUUUUUCUUUUUUGAGACAGAGUCUCACUCUGUCACAGAGGCUGGAGUGCAGUGGCGCGAUCUUGGCUCACUGCAACCUCUACCUCCUGGGUUCAAGCGAUUCUCCUGACUCAGCCUCCCAAGUAGCUGGGACUAAAGGUGCCCACCACCACACACAGCCACUUUUUCUAUUUUUAGUACAGACGAGGUUUCACCAUGUUGGCCAGGCUCCUGACCUUGAACUCCUGACCUGGUUUUGCUCCUGACCAGGCUCCUGGUCUUGAACUCCUGACCUCGUGAUCCACCUGCCUUGGCCUCCCAAAGUGCUGGGAUUACAGGCGUGAGCCACUGUGCCCGGCCCAUCCCUCAGUCUAUAUUUCCAUAACUGGAAGAAUCUCCUAAGUGGGCUGUAAUCUAGCCUUGCGUGACUCCAUCCUGCUCACUAAUAAAGAAAUAAUCCUCUUAAAAUCACACUUGGAUUAUUCUUUUCCGUUUUUCAGAAACUUUCAAUGGUUUCCCAUUGCCUGCAGAAUAAAGUCCAACCUUCAAAGUAGCUGGAAUUAAAAACCAUUAACAAUCUGGCCUCCCUACCUAAAUAACAUCAAUGAGAGGGCCACACAGAAGUCAGAUAUAUGGAAAUUAAAACAUGUUUUACUGGUGGAUAAAUGCUGUACUAGAGGAUAGGUUAUGUGGCCAAAAGAGUUUGCUGACAAUUUCUGCUUCCCAUUCCCCCAGUCUAGACCUUCAGACACAGUCCACCUGAGGCUUGUCUUCCUCUCCGUGGUCAUUUAGAGUUGAUCCUACUCAUCCUUUUCCCCCACUGCAGGCUUCCCAAGGGUUCCUGCAGCCCUUGGCAUCUGUCUCACUCACCUGUCCCUUCGCAUGUUCUGCCAUGAUGUUUAGCUUCUUUCUUGAGAGUAUGCCCUCUUCAUAGAAGUCAGAAACUCCUGGCCCACUGGCUAAACCUGAUCCCUAGAGGUUUUUCUGACUCUCACAAUGUUGGCCUGCACUGUGUUUGACAAUGCAUCAACUUACCUGACAAUUUGUAUUCUAUUUAUUUUUUUUUAGAAGAGGAGUCUCACUUUGUCACCCAGCCUGGAGUGCAGUGGUGAGAUCAUAGCUCACUGCAGCCUUGACCUCAUGGGCUCAAAAAAUCCUCCUGUUGGGACUACAGAUGCUCACCACCAUGCCUGGCUAAUUUAAAAUUUUUUUGUAGAGACAGGGUCUCACUAUAUUGUCCAGACUGGUCUCAAAUUCCUGGCCUCCACCAAUCCUCCCACCUCAUUCUCCCAAAGUGCUGGGAUUAUAGGCAUGAGCCACUGCGUCUGGCCUAUAUUCUAAAAAAAUUCUGCUGAGAAACUAGGAAAGCUAGCAGCCUUGGUUUCUCAGGUUUGACUUGCAACAAUUGACUUCUUGUAAAUGUUGCCUAUAUUGCUUUCUCUACCACCUCAACAUCAACUUUUUCCCAAUUCGCUCCUCAUAUUUCUGCUAUUUCAUGAAGAUUGCUCUUGUUAAUGUCACCAAGAGCCUCCACAAUUGCCAAAUCCAGUAGUUUGUCUCUGCUUUUGUCUUACUUGCCCUUUUGGCAGCAUUUGCCACUUAAUCAUGCUUUUCUUUUUUCUUUUUUAGACAGGCUUUUACUCUGUCACCCAUGCUGGAGUGCAGUGGUGCAAUCUUGGCUCACUGAAACCUCUGCCUCCUGGAUUCAAGCGAUCCUCCCACCUCAGCCUCCCGAGUAGCUGGGACUACAGGUGAGGGCCACCAUGCCUGGUAAUUUUUGUAUUUUUAGUAGAGACAGGGUUUCACCAUGUUGACCAGGCUGGUCUCAAACUCCUGACCUCAGGUGAUCUGCCCGCCUUGGCUUCCAAAAGUGCUGGGAUUACAGGCAUGAGCCACCAUGCCUGGUCGACACUUAAUCAUUCUCUACUUGUUUUUUUAAAAUUUUAUUUUUACAGUGUCACUCUCAGGAUAUCUACUUCUUAAAAUACUUUUUCUCCCUCUUGGAUUCCGUAACAACCCAUUUUGCGGGUCCCUCUUAAUCUGCUUUGCUGACUUCUGUCCGUUGUUCCAAGUCAGGUGGUCUCAGCUUGGUCUAGCAUCCUCUUCUCUAUUUGUACAUUCUUCCUAAAUGAUUUCAUCUAGCUUCAAAUCUUUAAAAGCCAUCUAUUUGCCAUGACUACUAACUUUGGAUUUGUAGCCUAGGCUCCUCCCUAGAACUCUACUAAUAGCCUACUUGAUAUCUAAAAAUGAAUUUCUUUCUUUCUCUCUUUUUUUUUUUGAGACGGAGUCUCACUCUGUCGCCCAGGCUGGAGUGCAAUGGCGUGAUCUUGGCUCACUGCAACCUCUGCCUCCUGGGUUCAAACAAUUCUCCUGCCUCAGCCUCCCAAGUAGGCAUGAGUAGGAUUGCUAAUUUUUGUAUUUUUAGUAGAGAUGGGGUUUCGUCAUGUUGGCCAGGGUGGUCUCAAAACUCCUGACCUCAGAUGAUCCACCUGCCUCGGCUUCCCAAAGUGCUAGGAUUACAGGCGUAAGCCACUGCUCCCGGCUAUGAAUUGAAUUUCUAAUAAGCAGCUUAAACUUAAAAAAGAAGUUUUGGAGUUUUAUCUCCCAAACCCCUGCUUCUUCUCCUCUUCUUCCUUUCUCAGUAAAUAGCACCACUAUCUACCCUCAGAGCAAAAAAAAAACCUAGUAGCUCUCUCUCCUCAUCUUCCACAUUCAAUCCCUCAACAAGUCUUAUGUUCCAAAAACACACUUCUCUUUAGCAGAUGCCAUAAUGUGCUACGCAGAGCCCUUCCCAGGACUGCAGGACUUAUUCCCACAGCUGCUGGGCAUGCUGCCACCUCACAGCCCUCUGCCCUCUCCGCAAAUUGCCCUCAGCUGCAGAGAGCCACCUUACCCAAGAUCACAUCCCUUCCUGCUUGCAUAUAAAGGCCCACUCCCUCAGUAACCCAAGACAACUCUGGAAGGCCACCCCAGCACAUCCCAGUGCUGCCUGUGGGGUCAGCUAAGGCCCUCAUGGAGACCUCCUCAGAGCCCAGCAUCUCCUCCUGCCUAGACUGUGUCCUUCCCUCCCCUUCUGGAAACCAAAUCUGCAACAUUAUCCCAAGUGUACCUGCCUCUUUCUAUCUUGCUGUUACGAUUUUGGUUAAGCCACCACCUUCUCUCACCUUGACUGCUGCAUUGCCUUUCCCCGUCUCCUUGCUUUUGCUCUUCAUUCGACCAUUCAUUUCUUUCACAACUGUCAGCUAUUCAUACUGUUUUGCUGUGUCUCCACCCAAAUCUCAUUUUGAAUUGUAACUCCCACAAUUCCCGCGUAUUGUGGGAGGAACCCGGUGGGAGGUGACUGAAUUAUGAGGGCGGGUCUUUCCUGCGCUGUUCUCGUGAUAGUAAAUGAGUCUCACGUGAUCUGGUGGUUUAUUUAUUUUAUUUUAUUUAUUUAUUUUUUUGAGACAGAGUCUCGCUCUGUCGCCCAGGCUGGAGUGCAGUGGCGCGAUCUCGGCUCACUGCAAGCUUGGCCCCCUGGGUUCACGCCAUUCUCCUGCCUCAGCCUCCCGAGUAGCUGGGACUACAGGCGCCCGCCACUACGCCCGGCUAAUUUUUUGUAUAUUUAGUAGAGAUGGGGUUUCACCGUGUUAGCCACGGUGGUCCCGAUUUCCUGACCUCGUGAUCUGCCCGCCUUCACCUCCCAAAGUGCUGGGAUUACAGGCGUGAGCCACCACGCCCGGCGAGAUCUGAUGGUUUAAAAAAACAAGAGGUCCCCUGCACAAGCUCUCUCUUUGCCUGCUGCCAUUCAUGCAAGAUGUGACUUGCUCCUUUUUGCCUUCUGCCAUGAUUGUGAGGCCUCCCCAGCCACGUGGAACUGUGAGUCCAGUUAAACCUUUUCUUUUAUAAAUUGCCCAGUCUUGGGUAUGUCUUUAUCAGCAGUGUGAAAAUGGACUAAUACAGCUAUGUUUUAUUUUUUAUUUUCUUAGGGAUAGAGUCUUGCUCAGUCCAUUCUCAGCUGGAGUACAGUGGCACAAUCAUAGCUCACUGCAGCUUCAAACUCCUGGACUGAAGCAAUCCUCCCACCUCAGCCUCCCACCUCAGCCUCCCCAGUAGCUGGGACUACAGGCAUGCGUUAUCAUGCCAGGCUGAUUUUUAUUUUUUAUUUUUUUCAAGAUGGGGGUCUUGAUACGUUGCCCAGGCUGGUCUAGAACUCCUGGCUUCAAGCGAUCCUUUUGCCUUGGCCUCCCGAAGUGCUGGGUUACAGGUGUGAGCCACUGCACCUGACCCUAGUUAUCUUUUUAAGAUAUUCUGUUUAUUUGAUCUUAUUUCAUUAGAUUAUAUUUGAUACAAAAAUGUAACAUAUAUACAAUUUAAGAAGUGUAAAACAAAUGAGCCUAUGAACUGUCCACUCAAAUUCUGAACUAUUGACAUAGCCUGUAUGCAUUUCCCUGAUUGUAACCCCUCCCUACUCUUCAGAAGUAAACACAAUUCUGGAUUUUUUUUUUUGUUAUUCCUAUACUUACAUCUUUAUAAUUGUAGCAUAGAUGUAUUUAUUGCUAAACAAUAUACAGUUUAGUUUCUCUUUUUUUUUGAGAUUUAUAUGUGGAGCCAUAGUAUAUUUUCUGCAAUUUGUUUUUUUCCGCAUUCAACAUUGUAUUUCUGAUCUAAUGUAAUCAUUUAUAUUGAAGUUUGUAACUGAGGUUUAUUCAUUUCCAUGCUUACAGAGGUAUUAAAUUAGUCAAUUAAAAAUACUGCAAAUUGUAAAUAGUUUAUUUAUCCUUGUUGAUGGACAUUUUCCUUGUAUUUUUAGCAAUCUGUUAGACGAAGGUUUUCCAUUUUUGUACAUGGUUUUUGGUGCUUAUGUGCAAGAAUUUCUCCAGCAUAUAUACCUAGGAAUAAAACUGAUGAAUUUAGUGCAUGCAAAUGUUCAGUUGUAGAAGAUAAUGCCAAGUUGUUUUUCUUUUCCUCUCUUUUUUUUUUUUUUUUUUGGACAGAGUCUCAUUCUCACCCAGGCUAGAACCGCCUCCGGGGUUCAAGCAAUUCCUGUGCCUCAGCCUCCGGAGUAGCUGAGAUUACAGGCACACGUCACCACGCCAAGCUAAUUUUUGUAUUUUUAGUAGAGAUGGGGUUUCACCAUGUUGGCCAGGCUGGCCUUGAACUCCUGACCUCAAGUGAUCUGCCUGUCUUGGCCUCCCAAAGUUCUGGGAGUAGAGAGAUGAGCCAGUGCGCUCUGUCUAUUUUGACAGUUAUUUUAUCUCAGCAGUUUAAAUAUAUCAUGCUAAUGUGUCUGGUAUUUAUUGUUGGCCCAGAAAUUAUUCCUUUGCAGGUGGUGCAAAGGAUCAGCACGGGAGUUUUGACCUGCUCCGUUUCCGACCUGGGUCGGUUCACCCCUCCUUAGGCAACCUGGCGGUUCCCCGCUCCAGGGAGGUCACCCUCUUGAUGCUGAAUUUAGCACGGACACCUGAUGGGCACAGUGCACUGCAGCCCAGAGCUCCUGAGCUCAAGCCAUCCUCCUGCCUCAGCCUCCAAGUAGCCAGGACCACAGGCACGCACCCUGAGGAGGAAGAAAUACCAGGUGCGCAUGCUCCAAGAAAAAGCCAUCUGAGGACGCGGCAAGAAGGCCGCCAUCUACAAGCCAAGGAGAGGGGCCUCAGGAGAAAUCGAACCUGUCACACCUUGAUCUUGGACUUCCAGCCUUCAGAACUGUGAGAAAGUAAAUUUCUGUGUUCAAGCUACCAGGUCUGUGGGAUUUUUUAUGGCAGCCCUAGCAGACUAAGACAGGCAUCAAUGGUUCCAAUGUUUUCAUUUUUUUUCCGGUAAGCAGACCGAAGCCCAGAGAGAUGAAGCAAUUUGCCCAAAGUCACAUACCAAGUUAACUGAAGAGUUGGGGUUAGAAUCCAGCUCUUGUGACUUCUCUCUUUUCAGUUUCCCUUCCCACUCCCCCCACUGAAAAGCUUUUGAGUGACUCUUUUAGAAAUCCCGGUUCUGUAUAUGAAGCAGAAUUGAGCACAGCUGCUCUAAUGAAGGGCUCAGAGCUCCCAGGCUUUUCUCUCUCCCCUGCCCCUUUUCCCUGUUGCACCUCUGCAGUGUCCUGAGGGUUGAUGGAAUCUAGUUUGAAAGCUAUUGCUCUACCUCACUGCCUCCUGAAUGCAAUGUCACAAAUUUUCCCAACUUGCCAUUUCUCUCACACUGACAUAAAGCAUUAGAAACCUGUUGUGAAGUAGGAAAGCUAACUGGGUCAGUAGCUGAUAAGAUAAUCUGGCCUAGGGGAUAGAUGAUUAGGAUUUCAGAGAAGGAAAGGUCACCCAAUUGAUUUGACUCUGUCCUGGGGCGAUGAUAUGGUGAAGAUUUCUACAGAUGCAGCAGAAACAUCCGGAAACCAGGUGUGUCCCAGCUCUGGUCUGGGAACCAUUUCAUAAAUUGGCAAAUAUCCAGGAUAUACACAUGGCUAAUUCUGAGGUGUACUGAAGUUUCAAUAAAGCUACUUUGGUAAUGACUAGGAGAAGAAAAUCCUAUGGCUGGACUUCAUUAAUGUUGUAUGGCCAAGGACAGUGUUUCUCUAAUUAUGGCCUGUGAACCUCCCUGGAUCUCGAUCACCUGCAUAUUUGGGAAUAUGCAGGUUCCAGGGUCCCACCUGAAACUACAGAAUCAGUAUUGAGAUCCCAGGUGAUUCUCAUGUACACUCAAGUGUAAGAUUAUUAGCACCUGGACUUUGGAAGCAGCCAGAUAAAAGUUUGGAUCCUGGGUUGGCUACUUCCUAGAUGUGGCCAAGUCAUUUUACUUGCCAUGCUUUUGCUUUUCUUGUCUGUAAAGUGGACAUGAUACCUAUUUUACAGGGUGGUUUUGAGGAAUAAGGUCAGCAUUAAACAUUUAUCCUCUUUAGGGAGACAGAGAGAGGAGAUGAAAUAGAGUAGAAUUGAGAAAAGCAGUUUCUUAGACCUCCCUGUGAAGUUUUUCUUAUUUCAACAAAUAAUAAAAUAAAAAAUUCAUACACUUUCUUAGUGCUUGUUUGGACUUAAGAAUUUAAAAAUAACUUGAGAGUUUUAUAGGCAUCAAGGAUGAUGUCUGAGUGCUGGAAAUACUUGACCUUUGGCUGGAAGGUGGAGUGAAGGUGCCAGCGGACUGAACCCUGGGAGACUGUCUUCUGUUUUAUGAAUGUGGUCAUGCUCUGAGUUAAAUGAUGUCCCUGGUAAGGACAUCUCCCAGAAAAGCUUAGAAAUCAGCUGUAAUCCUUGUUCCCUGCAAGACCCUUGACUUGGAUGUUAAGAGUUCCCUAUAAUGAUAAUAGCUACCUUUACUGAGCACUACUUGUUAGCCAGGCAUUGUGCUAAGUGCUUUAUGUGCAUUAUGUUAUGCAAUCCUGCAAAUACCGUUACGGGGCAGGUAAUAUUAUUAAUGCUAUUUUAACAAUGACAAAAGUAACUCACUGAUUAGGACUCUGAGUAGUAUCCAUACCACUGUAAGGAUAACAAAGAGCAAAGGCAGAUUAGGUCCGGCUCUGCUGUUUGUUGGGUGUUUUACUUAGAUUUAACCCCUAGACAAGUCUGAGUCUUGAUAUGGUCUUGCCUAUUACUCUACUUCUUUCUCUGCUGUGCACAGAUGGAGACUGGCAUCUGUAUUAAUACCAGGUUGUGUGCUUAAAGUCCAAUGAAUAGCAUUUUUUUUUUUUUUUGAGAUGGAGUCUCAUUCUGUUGCCCCGGCUGGAGUGCAGUGGUGCGAUCUCUGCUCACUGCAACCUCCGCCUCCCAGGUUCAAGCAAUUCUCCCACGUCAGCCUCCUGAGUAGCUGGGAUUACAGGGGUAUGCCACCAUGCCUGGCUAAUUUUUGCAUUUUUAGUAGAGAUGGGGUUUCACCAUGUUGGCUAGGCUGGUCUCGAACUCCUGACCUCAGGCGAUCCACCUGCCUUGGUCUCCCAAAGAGCUGGGAUUACAGGCGUGAGCCACUGCACUGAGCCCAGUGAAUAGCAUUUAAUAAAUGUUUGUAAAUGCUCUGAAUGUACUAUGAUAAUACAACAAAGUUGUACACAUAAGAUUAUCAUAGCAAAAAAUGGAGAGUAACCUUGGUUACUUCUAUAUAGUUAUUUAAUUUUAAUUUUUUUUUUUGAGAUGGAGCCUUGCUCUGUCACCCAGGCUGGAGUAUAGUGGCGUGAUCUUGGCUCACUGCAACCUCCACCUCCUAGCCUCCUAGGUUCAAGCGAUUCUCCUGCUUCAGCCUCCUGAGUAGCUGGGACUACAGAUAUAUACUACCAUGCCCCUUUAAUUUUUGUAUUUUUGGUAGAGAUGAAGUUUCACCAUUUUGGCCAGGCUGGUCUUGAACUCCUGACCUCAAGUGAUCAGCUCACGUCUGCCUCCCAAAGUGCUGGGAUUACAGGUGUCAGCCACCGUGCCAGGCCAAUUUUUUUUUUUUUUUAGAGACAGAGUCUUGCCUUGUCAGCCAGGUUGGAGUGUAGUGGUAUGAUCACAGCUUAUUGCAACCUCGAACUCUUGGGCUCAAGUGAUCCUCCAGCCUCAGCCUCCCGAGUAGCUAUGGCUACAGGUGCAUACAAUCAAAUGCCUGGCUAAUUAAAAACAUUUUUUUUUCUGUAGAGAUAGUUUCUCGCUAUGUUGUCCAGGCUGGUCUUGAAAUCCUGGCCUCAAGCAAUCCUCCUGCUUCAGCGUGGGAUUACAAGCAUGAGCCACUGUGCCCAGCCUAUACAGCCAUUUAAAAUGAUUGUAUAGCUCUAUAAUAAAUGAAUAACAUACAUACCAUAAUAAAAGAAUAAAGCAGGAUAUGAAGUAGCAUGAUUAAUGGAAUCUCAUUUUUGAAAAUCAAAUAUGUUUAUAUGUACAUAGAAAAAAUAUGGAAGGAUCUACCCCAUAAUGUUAGUUGAGCUCUGAAUGGUAGAUUUAGGAUUUUUUUUUUUUUUUUUUUUUUUUGAGACAGUCUCACUCUGUCACCCAGGCUGGAGUGCAGUGGCGUGGUCUCAGCUCACUGCAACCUCUGCCUCCCGGGUUCAGGUGAUUCUCUUGCCUCAGCCUCUGGAAUAGCUGGGAUUACAGGUGCCCGCCACCACACCUGGCUAAUUUUUGUAUUUUUAGUAGAGACGGGGUUUCUCUAUGUUGGCCAGGCUGGUUUUGAACGGCUGACCUUGUGAUCCGCCUGCCUCAGUUUCCCAAAGUGCUAGGAUUACAGGUGUGAGCCACCAUGCCCUACGAUUUAGGAUGUUUUUUGACUCUGAAAAAGAAAAAUUGUCUGAUUUUUCUUUUUCUGUUUUUAUUUUUACAGUGAGCUGAACACACAUCAUUUUUAUAACUGGGAAAAAUGUGCCACUAUUAUUUUGAAAAUUAAAUUCCUUGGAAAUAAAAAGCUAAACAUUCUACCAUCUUCCAUGUUAUUGUGGGUUUGUAUUUGCUUCUCUAAGAGAGUGAUUAGGAGAUGCUCUGAAGACUCUCAGCACACCAAAAGGAUAGCUAUUCUAAACAUUCCUUUUAGCACCUUCACAUACAUUCAAUGCAUUCCUCAAUGUAUCACCCAAUGCAUUCUUGUUGAAUAAGUGAAUGAGCAUUGAGAAGAAAAUCUGUGAUCAAUAUGCAAAGUGUUGCAAAAGAAGAACACUUUCAUAAGGAUGAGAAGUCAUAACAAUAGAAAAUAAUAACUUUCAAUUUCUUUUUCUUAGAUUCCUGGUAGCUGGAUUAAUUUGUGUUCAAAGUGAUUCACUGAGUCUAGUGAGAUCCUAGAACAAGGUUGGGGCUGUUUAAGUCACUCUAAGAGCUCCCUCCAGACAUUUCUGUCAGCCUGUCUACACCAUAUCUCUUUUCAUUAUUCUUGUUGCCUUUGGUGGCUGUCACAGACAGGAGAGCCAAAUAAUGCUCCUAGCAGCACAUAUCAUUUCUGCUUUGUCCAUCUCUUGCUCACUAUAAUAGGACAUUCUUCUUCCACAGAUAGAACAGAUUUCUGGUUCUUAGAAAGGCUUCCCAACCUCUGCCCAGGCGUUCAUUUUAUUUGUGAUUCAGAGAAUGGCUCUUGGCCAACACAAGAGAAUGCCAAUUCAGGGACUACUGUGGUUUGAAUGUCCCCUCUGAAACUCAUGUUGAAAUCUAAUUGCCAUUGUAAUAGUAUUAACAGUGGGACCUUUAAAAGGUGCUUAGGUCAUGAGGGGUCAUGAUGGAUUAAUGCUGUUGUCACUGGGAGUGGGGUCCCAAUAAAGGGAUGAAAUUUGGCCUGAUUUCCUGUCUCACACAUGAUAAAGGGAUGAUAUUCAGCCUGCUUUCCAGUCUCGCACGCCUGCUUGCCCUUCCGCCAUGUUAUGAUGCAGCCAGAAGGCCCUCACCAGAAGCAGCCCCUCAGCCUUGGACUUCCCAGCUUCCAGAACUGCACGAGGCUGGGGAGCUGGGGCGCUGCUGGUGGGCUUCAUGGUGCUGUGGUUCUGUCUAUUCUCAUCAGCCUGUGAGGCAAGAAAGUAUUGGCAGCACCUCACAGGCCUUGUCCUCUUCAUAGCCCCCUCCCGGGAGCCACAUCAGUCUCCAUUUCAG